CUGAGCAGAGAUCAAGAGUUGGAUGCUUAACUAAUGUAGCCACCCAGGUGCCCCAAAGUCCUAGGAGACAGAGCCAUUAUUGUCCCUACAUGGCAGACAGCAAACUGAAGCACAAAGGUUUUCUGGCCAUAUCUCAGACACCCUGGCUUUCACAGGAUCCACCGAGAAAAAGUGCUGAAGCACAAUAGUCAGCAAGAAGUAUUGGAUUUCCUCUGCUCUGAAUGUAGAACCAUUAAGAUGAAGAAAACUACCCAGAGAGUUAAUCUGUAAGAAGUACUAAAACAGUACUGGGUAGGAAAGAGAGAGAAUCUUCACUACUAUCUUCCUACUCCAUCCUUCUGGCAGUCAGCACUCAGCUUCUCCUCUAAAGAAAUGGUGAACAAAUAUUUAAAGAUCUUUGAGUUGAAGUGGUAGAAAAAUAGGAGUCUAUCUAAGGGAAGUAUAUGUCCAUGUCUGGCCUGCAUGAAUGAUCAAUCAACUGUGCGAGAAAAUGUUAACCUUGUUCUUUUAGAAAGCGCUAAGGUCAUGAGUCUUUUGGUUACAAUGGUAAUCACCUAGAAGUUGAAACUACCUUAUGUAAAUUAUUGGUAUCUUUCUGCCUUGCAUAUAUGUAACAGUAUAUCAGUUCUCUAGUACUUUCAUAAGUGCAAAUACCUUCUUACUUAAAAUGGGUAAUUCUGUCUUAGAGGAAUGCGACAGUAUUUUCAAAUUUGCCUGCCCCUGUCCUUUGCCCUCAAAGUAUCAACUCAACGUUCAGCUUGCAAUAGGUAAAUAGAUGAAUCCGUCCAAGCUUUGCCAAGACCCUAUGAUGCUGGGUAGGACUCUCCUUCCACAACUCUGAUCACUUCCAUUAACAUCCUCUCCGGUCUUUCAUUUAAAAAUACUAGAUUGGCUGUUAUGUACCAGGAACUACAACCGUGCACUGAACUUGAGAAGUGAAAAUUAAGGUCCUGCCCUCAGGGAGACUCAGUCCUUGUGGGAGGAGAAACACAGACAAAUACACCUAAGAUACCAUGUGACUUGGCUAUAAUGGAGGUUGUCACAGGUACAAUAGGAACACAGAGGAAAGAAAGUGUCAAUCUCCAAAAAUUGACUUCACUUGGAAAGUACUCUUGAGUAACAAAAUACACAAAAAUGUUCCUAGUCAUUAUUUCUGCAUUGGUGAAUUCAGGAUAUUGAUUUUCUUCUUUAUACUUUCUUCAUUUUAAAAACAAUAUGCUCAGUUUGGAAGGAAUGUGUCCUUGUCUCACCACUUGACUUUUCUGGGACCUACAGCUCAAUGACAGAUUAAGCUCCAUGCCUGGUAUCUAACUUGUUUAGCUCAAAUGAUGGCUGGCUAAAACUGCAGCAGGCAUUCUUUUACAAACCCCAUCACACCCUCAGCACAUUCUGCUUAUACCCUGACCAAGGAGGGAGAUGGUCUUCUCUACCUACAGAGAAUUGAACAGAGCAUUAAGAACUACAACUUACUUCCAUCAGCCUUAGGAGGCAUGGAAUUUCCUCCCAUAUCUAUAACGCAAGUGCUAGGCAUAGUUCUUCAUUUUUUUUUGUUUGUGUUCUCAUACGUAUUUUAGAGAGAAAUUAGGAUAGGCUGCUUCAAGGGGCCACAAGCCAGCUGUGGUGGUGGUGGUGGUUGGGUUGACAACUGCAAAGUAGUAUGAUUUUUCUUUCCAUUUUAGCAAGUGAGGAAGACAUCCUCAGGAUAAAAACAAACAAAAAACAGCAAACUCAUAGGAUUUCCUCCAGUGUCUGUUGUGUAGAGGCAGCAGAGUCAGGUUGUAGGAUUUUUCUAUAAUUGGUGGCUUAAGGGCUGGUGUGGAAGAAAAAUACAAAUGUUGCCAAGUGCUUGUAGGGAAAUAUUUCAAGUGGCAGACUAAGUGGUCCAGGCUUGGUAAGAAAGGAAUUAUGACCAAAAAUGGCUGACAGAGAAAGUAGCAGAAUUAAGAGCUCUAAAUGUGUCAUUUGAAGUUCCAGCUUCUGGCAUUGAAGAAGUGAAAAUGCCAUAAAGACUGAUUAUAAAGUCAUGAAUUAGUAAGCUUUCAAAGAUGGGGUAGUGCUGUGUGGUGCAAAGUACCAAGCAAGGCUACCAAAGUUGGAUGUGAAGUUGAUGAAAAAUGAAGGUCAUGGAUUUGAUGACAUCAAAGAGCUGUGAGAUUAGGAGGAUGAAAGGUCAUCAGUAUGGGCAUCAAAACCAACAGGAUUGAUGGCAGAUUUUAAGUGGAGAGGAAGAAGCGAACCUGAGUGACAAUUUCCUUAUGGAAUAUCAUGAAUGAUCUGGAUGUUGGUAGAUGACAGUGAGAAAGAGUAGUGAAGAGACGCUGAUGAUCCCUCCCACUGCAGAGAUUAAGCUUUUAACAGAAACCCAGCGUCAUUAUUCUCAGGGGUUAAUAAAGUUACUGUUUUGUAGGGAAAAUGAAGGCUGGAGUUACCAAGGGUUUAGGAAAGGGUUUAGGAAAAUUCUGAGGGGAAGGAAUAUAGAGAAGUAUAGGGAUAAGGAGGUGGCAGAAGAAGGACCACUGGGUGGGAUCUGAAUCUCAGUGGUAACUGAAUUUUACAGGGAUGAGAAACAUGAGAGAAUUUUCCCUAAGUUUCUCAUAUUACAACAUUGCUGAGGUACAUCUGGGUGAUGCCAUGUGGUACUGCCUUGUACUUUCCCACGUCUUCACCUCCUCUUCUCUUCUUGGAGACCAAAUGGCUUAUGUUAAAGAGUCUAUAAAUUUGAUGUCAGGCCAAAUCUGAAAAUGUGUAGGUUAUCUGACCUCUCAAGCUUCUGAAUUUGCUAUGAAUUUAUUUAAGUCACAUCCCAGGUCCCUGACAACAUUUGGGUGUGUGACUUCUGUUCUAAAAUCUAACUUUUCAUCAAAUCAGAGCAUCAGAGAGCUGGACCUCACUGUUUCGUCCCUAGGCAGACUGCUAUGAGGAGGUCAAAUAAACUUGCUUUAUUUAUGAAAGGGAUGGGGGAAAGAUAACUCUGGCUGGAGUCUCAGUAAUGGAGUGGAUUUUUCCGGACAAGAAAGGAAGGGGGAAGGGUAUGAGAGAAUGUUGGCUUGAACUAGACUGGUCAUGGUAGAGAUAAAGUAGAUGAAUCCAAGUAGUUUUGGAAGUGGAUGGCUUGCCGAUGAACUGAAUGAAAAUUUGAAUGUACUUCCAGAAAUUCUACCAAUUAGAAAUUCAUUGGGUUUGAAAGCUUCUUUUAUAAAAAUGCAAAUACAUCUAAGAGGCUUACGACUGGCGUGAGGGUGUAAUUUAGUCUGAAUUAGUUCCAUCAGCUUAUUUUCUGCUAUCACCUAGCUGAAGUCAGUCAUACUAAAGAGAUGAGUUUUAUUUGGGGAAAGAAUGUUUUGCAUAAAGGAUAUAAUCAUGGGUGGGACAGGAAGUGGAAAUCUUUGGAAAGACAGAAAUAUGAAGGAACACACAGGAGACACAGAGAGGGGAUGUCAGCAUUUGAGAGGACAAAGAACAAGCAAGCUGGCCUUCUCUGAAAGUUUGCCUGAUUGCCUUGUAGAGACAAGUCCCCAGUCCUUAACAAUGGCUUGUAGACUUGCUUGAAGGCAAAUAUAGCAGAGGGGAUGAAAAAAAAAUGAAACCACAAAAGUCCUCAAAUGGUAUUAGGCAUUGGCAAUUUCCCAUAUUGCUUUGUUUAAAUCCAAGCUAAGCUACCCAAUUCCUUGACAAUAUUUCGCUGACAUCAUAUGACAAAAAGGAAUUUUUAGACCUGAAAUAUUAAAAACAAUCAUCAGUGCCAUGUGAAUAAAUAACUUAUUGAUCAAUGCUUAAGAAUAAUUUCAAUUAUGUUAUUUUAAACAUAUGUUUUAUGCUUGAUAGGAAACAUCUCUAAUUUUUUAAAGUCCAGUCUUCUUUAGAUACAACAGAUUAUUUUUUUAUUGUUUUCCUUUUUCUUCAUGUAUCCACAUUUUAUUAUAAAAAUGAGGAUACAGAUCCUAAAGCGUUCAAAAUGCUACCUAUGCAUCGAGUCUGGGUACAUUUCAAGCUUCACGUGAAAGCCAAUGCUGAGAGCUAAGA